rnacentral:rRNA from 1 species
UACACGACCGUACCGCAAACCGACACUGGUGCGCGAGAUGAGUAUUCUAAGGCGCUUGAGAGAACUCGGGAGAAGGAACUCGGCAAAUUGACACCGUAACUUCGGAAGAAGGUGUGCCUUUAGUAGGUGAAGGGAUUUACUCCUGGAGCCCAAUGAGGUUGCAAAAAAUCGGUGGCUGCGACUGUUUAUUAAAAACACAGCACUCUGCAAACACGAAAGUGGACGUAUAGGGUGUGACGCCUGCCCGGUGCUGGAAGAUUAAAUGAUGGGGUGCAAGCUCUUGAUUGAAGUCCCAGUAAACGGCGGCCGUAACAAUAACGGUCCUAAGGUAGCGAAAUUCCUUGUCGGGUAAGUUCCGACCUGCACGAAUGGCGUAACGAUGGCCACACUGUCUCCUCCCGAGACUCAGCGAAGUUGAAAUGUUUGUGAUGAUGCAAUCUCCCCGCGGAAAGACGGAAAGACCCCAUGAACCUUUACUGUAGCUUUGUAUUGGACUUUGAACAGAUCUGUGUAGGAUAGGUGGGAGGCUUUGAAGUAGGGUCGCUAGAUCUUAUGGAGCCAACGUUGAAAUACCACCCUGGUGUGUUUGAGGUUCUAACCUAGGUCCAUUAUCUGGAUCGGGGACAGUGCAUGGUAGGCAGUUUGACUGGGGCGGUCUCCUCCCAAAGCGUAACGGAGGAGUUCGAAGGUACGCUAGUUACGGUCGGACAUCGUGACGAUAGUGCAAUGGCAUAAGCGUGCUUAACUGCGAGACUGACAAGUCGAGCAGAUGCGAGAGCAGGACAUAGUGAUCCGGUGGUUCUGUAUGGAAGGGCCAUCGCUCAACGGAUAAAAGGUACUCUGGAUAACAGGCUGAUACCGCCCAAGAGUUCAUAUCGACGGCGGUGUUUGGCACCUCGAUGUCGGCUCAUCUCAUCCUGGGGCUGUAGCCGGUCCCAAGGGUAUGGCUGUUCGCCAUUUAAAGAGGUACGUGAGCUGGGUUUAAAACGUCGUGAGACAGUUUGGUCCCUAUCUUCCGUGGGCGCUGCGGAUUUGAGGAAGCCUGCUCCUAGUACGAGAGGACCGGAGUGGACACACCUCUGGUGUAUCGGUUGUCACGCCAGUGGCAUUGCCGAGUAGCUAAGUGUGGAAGAGAUAACCGCUGAAAGCAUCUAAGCGGGAAACUCGUUUCAAGAUGAGAUCUGCCGGGGCCUUGAGCCCCCUAAAGAGUCGUUCAAGACCAGGACGUUGAUAGGUCAGGUGUGGAAGCGCAGUAAUGCGUUAAGCUAACUGAUACUAAUUGCUCGUGCGGCUUGACC